rnacentral:rRNA from 1 species
GGAUAACCUACCCAAGAGUCCGGGAUAACCCCGGGAAACUGGGGAUAAUACCGGAUAGGUCAGACUUGCUGGAAGGCUGUUUGGCUGAAACUUCCGGGGCUUUUGGAUGGGUCUGCGGCUGAUUAGGUUGUUGCCGGUGUAACGUACCGUCAAGCCUGUAAUCAGUACGGGUUGUGGGAGCAAGAGCCCGGAGAUGGAUUCUGAGACACGAAUCCAGGCCCUACGGGGCGCAGCAGGCGCGAAAACUCUACAAUGCAGGCAACUGCGAUAGGGGAACAUCGAGUGAUCCUCAUAUUGGGGGUCUGUCCACCCGCCUAAAAAGCGGGUGUUAGCAAGGGCCGGGCAAGACCGGUGCCAGCCGCCGCGGUAAUACCGGCGGCUCGAGUGGUGGCCGAUAUUAUUGAGUCUAAAGGGUCCGUAGCCGGCUUUGCAAGUCUCUCGGGAAAUCCAGCGGCUUAACCGUUGGUCGUCCGGGGGGUACUACAUUGCUUGGGACUGGGAGAGGUAGGAGGUACUCAGGGGGUAGGAGUGAAAUCCUGUAAUCCUUUGGGGACCACCGGUGGCGAAGGCGUCCUACCAGAACAGGUCCGACGGUGAGGGACGAAAGCUAGGGGCACGAACCGGAUUAGAUACCCGGGUAGUCCUAGCCGUAAACGAUGCUCGCUAGGUGUCACAACAGUCGUGAACUGUUGUGGUGCCGUAGGGAAGCCGUGAAGCGAGCCACUUGGGAAGUACGACCGCAAGGUUGAAACUUAA